UACGGGAGGCAGCAGUGGGGAAUAUUGCACAAUGGGCGCAAGCCUGAUGCAGCCAUGCCGCGUGUAUGAAGAAGGCCUUCGGGUUGUAAAGUACUUUCAGCGGGGAGGAAGGCGAUGUGGUUAAUAACCGCGUCGAUUGACGUUACCCGCAGAAGAAGCACCGGCUAACUCCGUGCCAGCAGCCGCGGUAAUACGGAGGGUGCAAGCGUUAAUCGGAAUUACUGGGCGUAAAGCGCACGCAGGCGGUCUGUUAAGUCAGAUGUGAAAUCCCCGGGCUUAACCUGGGAACUGCAUUUUGAAACUGGCAGGCUUGAGUCUCGUAGAGGGGGUAGAAUUCCAGGUGUAGCGGUGAAAUGCGUAGAGAUCUGGAGGAAUACCGGUGGCGAAGGCGGCCCCUGGGACGAAGCUGACGCUCAGGUGCGAAAGCGUGGGGAGCGAAACAGGGAUUAGAUACC
rnacentral:rRNA from 1 species